AGCGUACACGGUGGAUGCCCUGGCAGUCAGAGGCGAUGAAGGACGUGCUAAUCUGCGAAAAGCGCCGGCGAGGUGAUAUGAACCCUUGACCCGGCGAUGUCCGAAUGGGGAAACCCAGUGCAAUCCGUUGCACUAUCGUUAACUGAAUACAUAGGUUAACGAGGCGAACCGGGGGAACUGAAACAUCUAAGUACCCCGAGGAAAAGAAAUCAACCGAGAUUCCCCCAGUAGCGGCGAGCGAACGGGGAGCAGCCCGGAGUCUGAAUCAGCUUGUGUGUUAGUGGAACGGUCUGGAAAGUCCGACGGUACAGGGUGAUAGUCCCGUACACGAAAGCACACUUGCUGUGAACUCGAAGAGUAGGGCGGGACACGUGGUAUCCUGUCUGAAUAUGGGGGGACCAUCCUCCAAGGCUAAAUACUCCUGACUGACCGAUAGUGAACCAGUACCGUGAGGGAAAGGCGAAAAGAACCCCGGCGAGGGGAGUGAAAAAGAACCUGAAACCGUGUACGUACAAGCAGUGGGAGCCUCUUUAUGGGGUGACUGCGUACCUUUUGUAUAAUGGGUCAGCGACUUAUAUUCUGUAGCAAGGUUAACCGUAUAGGGGAGCCGAAGGGAAACCGAGUCUUAACUGGGCGUUAAGUUGCAGGGUAUAGACCCGAAACCCGGUGAUCUAGCCAUGGGCAGGUUGAAGGUUGGGUAACACUAACUGGAGGACCGAACCGACUAAUGUUGAAAAAUUAGCGGAUGACCUGUGGCUGGGGGUGAAAGGCCAAUCAAACCGGGAGAUAGCUGGUUCUCCCCGAAAGCUAUUUAGGUAGCGCCUCGUGAACUCAUCUUCGGGGGUAGAGCACUGUUUCGGCUAGGGGGCCAUCCCGGCUUACCAACCCGAUGCAAACUACGAAUACCGAAGAAUGUUAUCACGGGAGACACACGGCGGGUGCUAACGUCCGUCGUGAAGAGGGAAACAACCCAGACCGCCAGCUAAGGUCCCAAAGUCAUGGUUAAGUGGGAAACGAUGUGGGAAGGCACAGACAGCCAGGAUGUUGGCUUAGAAGCAGCCAUCAUUUAAAGAAAGCGUAAUAGCUCACUGGUCGAGUCGGCCUGCGCGGAAGAUGUAACGGGGCUAAACCAUGCACCGAAGCUGCGGCAGCGACACUAUGUGUUGUUGGGUAGGGGAGCGUUCUGUAAGCCGUUGAAGGUGUGCUGUGAGGCAUGCUGGAGGUAUCAGAAGUGCGAAUGCUGACAUAAGUAACGAUAAAGCGGGUGAAAAGCCCGCUCGCCGGAAGACCAAGGGUUCCUGUCCAACGUUAAUCGGGGCAGGGUGAGUCGACCCCUAAGGCGAGGCCGAAAGGCGUAGUCGAUGGGAAACAGGUUAAUAUUCCUGUACUUGGUGUUACUGCGAAGGGGGGACGGAGAAGGCUAUGUCAGCCGGGCGACGGUUGUCCCGGUUUAAGCAUGUAGGCGGAGGUUCCAGGUAAAUCCGGUACCUUAUUAACGCUGAGGUGUGAUGACGAGGCACUACGGUGCUGAAGUGAUAAAUGCCCUGCUUCCAGGAAAAGCCUCUAAGCAUCAGGUAACACGAAAUCGUACCCCAAACCGACACAGGUGGUCAGGUAGAGAAUACCAAGGCGCUUGAGAGAACUCGGGUGAAGGAACUAGGCAAAAUGGUGCCGUAACUUCGGGAGAAGGCACGCUGAUGUGUAGGUGAAGCCCCUGCGGGUGGAGCUGAAAUCAGUCGAAGAUACCAGCUGGCUGCAACUGUUUAUUAAAAACACAGCACUGUGCAAACACGAAAGUGGACGUAUACGGUGUGACGCCUGCCCGGUGCCGGAAGGUUAAUUGAUGGGGUUAGCGGCAACGCGAAGCUCUUGAUCGAAGCCCCGGUAAACGGCGGCCGUAACUAUAACGGUCCUAAGGUAGCGAAAUUCCUUGUCGGGUAAGUUCCGACCUGCACGAAUGGCGUAAUGAUGGCCAGGCUGUCUCCACCCGAGACUCAGUGAAAUUGAACUCGCUGUGAAGAUGCAGUGUACCCGCGGCAAGACGGAAAGACCCCGUGAACCUUUACUAUAGCUUGACACUGAACACUGGUCCUUGAUGUGUAGGAUAGGUGGGAGGCUUUGAAGCGUGGACGCCAGUCUGCGUGGAGCCNNNNNNNNNAUCCGGGUUGCGGACAGUGUCUGGUGGGUAGUUUGACUGGGGCGGUCUCCUCCCAAAGAGUAACGGAGGAGCACGAAGGUUGGCUAAUCCUGGUCGGACAUCAGGAGGUUAGUGCAAUGGCAUAAGCCAGCUUGACUGCGAGCGUGACGGCGCGAGCAGGUGCGAAAGCAGGUCAUAGUGAUCCGGUGGUUCUGAAUGGAAGGGCCAUCGCUCAACGGAUAAAAGGUACUCCGGGGAUAACAGGCUGAUACCGCCCAAGAGUUCAUAUCGACGGCGGUGUUUGGCACCUCGAUGUCGGCUCAUCACAUCCUGGGGCUGAAGUAGGUCCCAAGGGUAUGGCUGUUCGCCAUUUAAAGUGGUACGCGAGCUGGGUUUAGAACGUCGUGAGACAGUUCGGUCCCUAUCUGCCGUGGGCGCUGGAGAAUUGAGGGGGGCUGCUCCUAGUACGAGAGGACCGGAGUGGACGCAUCACUGGUGUUCGGGUUGUCAUGCCAAUGGCACUGCCCGGUAGCUAAAUGCGGAAGAGAUAAGUGCUGAAAGCAUCUAAGCACGAAACUUGCCCCGAGAUGAGUUCU
rnacentral:rRNA from 1 species